rnacentral:rRNA from 1 species
CGUUGGAUUAGGCAGUUGGCGGGGUAACGGCCCACCAAACCGACGAUCCAUAGCCGGACUGAGAGGUUGGACGGCCACAUUGGGACUGAGACACGGCCCAAACUCCUACGGGAGGCAGCAGUGGGGAAUAUUGCACAAUGGGGGAAACCCUGAUGCAGCGACGCCGCGUGAGUGAAGAAGUAUCUCGGUACGUAAAGCUCUAUCAGCAGGGAAGAAAAUGACGGUACCUGACUAAGAAGCCCCGGCUAACUACGUGCCAGCAGCCGCGGUAAUACGUAGGGGGCAAGCGUUAUCCGGAUUUACUGGGUGUAAAGGGAGCGUAGACGGCAGCACAAGUCUGGAGUGAAAUCCCGGGGCUUAACCCCGGAACUGCUUUGGAAACUGUGCGGCUGGAGUGCAGGAGGGGUAAGCGGAAUUCCUAGUGUAGCGGUGAAAUGCGUAGAUAUUAGGAGGAACACCGGUGGCGAAGGCGGCUUACUGGACUGUAACUGACGUUGAGGCUCGAAAGCGUGGGGAGCAAAC